rnacentral:rRNA from 1 species
CGGCGGACGGGUGAGUAACACGUGGGUAACCUGCCUGUAAGACUGGGAUAACUCCGGGAAACCGGGGCUAAUACCGGAUGCUUGAUUGAACCGCAUGGUUCAAUCAUAAAAGGUGGCUUUUAGCUACCACUUACAGAUGGACCCGCGGCGCAUUAGCUAGUUGGUGAGGUAACGGCUCACCAAGGCGACGAUGCGUAGCCGACCUGAGAGGGUGAUCGGCCACACUGGGACUGAGACACGGCCCAGACUCCUACGGGAGGCAGC